ensembl:lncRNA uncharacterized LOC115149418
AUGUCAUGUAAAAUGCAACUUCAACGUGAGGGCUUAGAGGAAUCUGACAACUUCCUUGGAACUAAAUACAUUGGUGGUCACGUCACUGUCACAGUGGUAACGUUACUGUCACAGUGGUUACGUUACUGUCGCAGUGGUCACGUUACUGUCACAUUACUGUCACAGUGGUCACGUUACUGUUGCAGUGGUCACGUUACUGUCACAGUGGUCACGUUACCGUCACAGUGGUUACGUUACUGUCACAGUGGUCACGUUACUGUCACAGUGGUUACGUUACUGUCACAGUGGUCACGUUACUGUCACAGUGGUCACGUUACUGUCACAGUGGUCACGUUACUGUCACAGUGGUCACGUUGCUGUCACGUUACUGUCACAGUGGUCACGUUACUGUCACAGUGGUCACGUUACUGUCACAGUGGUCACGUUACUGUCACAGUGGUCACGUUACUGUCACAGUGGUCACGUCACUGUCACAGUGGUCACGUCACUGUCACAGUGGUCACGUUACUGUCGCAGUGGUUACAUUACUGUUACAGUGGUCAUGUUACUGUCACAGUGGUCACAUUACUGUCACAGUGGUCACGUUACUGUCACAGUGGUCACGUUACUGUCACAGUGGUCACGUUACUGUCACAGUGGUUACAUUACUGUCACAGUGGUCACGUUACUGUCACAGUGGUCACGUUACUGUCACAGUGGUCACGUUACUGUCACAGUGGUCACGUUACUGUCACGUUGCUGUCGCAGUGGUUACAUUACCUUCACAGUGGUCACGUUACUGUCACAGUGGUCACGUUACUGUCACAGUGGUCACGUUACUGUCGCAGUGGUCACGUUACUGUCACAGUGGUCACAUUACUGUCACAGUGGUCACGUUACUGUCACAGUGGUCACGUUACUGUCACAGUGGUCACGUUACUGUCACGUUACUGUCGCAGUGGUUACAUUACCUUCACAUUGGUCACGUUACUGUCACAGUGGUCACGUUACUGUCACAGUGGUCACGUUACUGUCACGUUACUGUCACAGUGGUCACGUUACUGUCACAUUACUGUCACAGUGGUCACGUUACUGUCACAGUGGUCACGUUCACGUUACUGUCGCAGUGGUUACAUUACUGUCACAGUGGUUACAUUACUGUCACAGUGGUUACGUUACUGUCGCAGUGGUCACGUUACUGUCGCAGUGGUCACGUUACUGUCACAGUGGUCACGUUACUGUCACAGUGGUCAUGUUACUGUCGCAUUUGUCACGUUACUGUCACAGUGGUCACGUUACUGUCACGUUACUGUCACAGUGGUCACGUUACUGUCACAGUGGUCAAGGUUACUGUCACAGUGGUCACGUUACUGUCGCAGUGGUCACGUUACUGUCACGUUACUGUCACAGUGGUCACGUUACUGUCACAGUGGUCACGUUACUGUCGCAGUGGUCACGUUACUGACACAGUGGUCACGUUACUGUCACGUUACUGUCGCAGUGGUUACAUUACCUUCACAGUGGUCACGUUACUGUCACAGUGGUCACGUUACUGUCAUGUUACUGUCACAGUGGUCACGUUACUGUCGCAGUGGUCACGUAACUGUCACAGUGGUCACGUUACUGUCGCAGUGGUCACUUUACUGUCACAGUGGUCACGUUACUGUCGCAGUGGUUACAUUACCUUCACAGUGGUUAUGUUACUGUCAUAGUGGUCACGUUACUGUCACAGUGGUCACGUUACUGUCGCAGUGGUCACGUUACUGUCACAGUGGUCACGUUACUGUCACAGUGGUCACGUUACUGUCACAGUGGUCACGUUACUGUCGACACAAAGCACUAUGA